AGUCAUCACGGCUCCUGCGCGCCGGUGUGCCCGUUCGCGGCUCUGUACUAUACUGGCCAGGAAGAAGUCAUCAUGGCGCAUGCGCGGCGGUGUGCGCAUUCAGGACAUUGCGCAGCCCUGCUGGGAGAAAAU